UAGCCUUGUGGAUAAGGCAUUGGAUUUCCAAUCCGGAGACGGCGGGUACGAUUCCCGC
rnacentral:tRNA from 1 species